AAAUUCACAAUGGGGUGCCCUACCAUCCGGGCUGAGAUCAUACCCUUUGAACCUGAUACGGGUAAUGCCGGCGCAGGGAAUAAGCAACAAAUCUCC
rnacentral:ncRNA from 2 species